UGGUGGAGGAUGCAACGAUCUGCAUUCGCUACGCUAAUCCCCCGAAACCAAAAGAAGACGAAGAAGGAAAAGAAGAUUCUGCAUUCGCUACGUACGCUACGCUGAUUCCCCAGAUGAUGAAAAAAAAGAGAGAGAAGAAGAGCAUCGGGAGAGAAGAAGAGCGGGGGAGGAAGAUAAUGGAGAGGCAUGCAGCCAUGUUGUGAUGUCCUCCAAGCUCGACAGCCUUGAUCCAGAGCCCGCGCAGAGCAAAGUCGAGGAGCAGCAGAAGAAGUAGUCUAACACGGCGACGAUAUGGUAAGCUACAUCGUAAUUUUACUGUAUACAUAGCCACAAAUUCGGAAAUAAUUUAUUAACAGUAAAACAGCUCGCGAAGUGCCGAGCAGCGCGCGAAUUUUCGUAGCUAGAGUGGUAUUCGAAUUUCAUGGUAACGGCGUACAGUGACUCAAGCGUCGAAAGUAUAUAGUAAGCCUAUGCGAUGAGAGGGGCGAGACGCCCAGCCGCUUCCAAGUAUGACCUCGAACGUGGCCAAUAGGGUAAGCUAAAAUUAGCGUCCCUGCCAACAGAGGCAUACUACGGCACAAAACUUACCAUAGAGCGUUAAUUAAAGGUGACGAGCUAAAACAGCUCCGCCCGGGAAUUGGGUAUGUCCGAUUUCGUCACGCGUCGCGUCAUUUUUGAGUCACGGCUACUGCCGAUACCAUUGGGUCGAUACCACGAAUUCAAAAUUUUUAUAAACAAAGAGUUGACUAUGUAUAUGUGUUUACGAUAUAGCUUACAGCCGGUCCUAUCUGUAUUUUAUGUUUUGUCGUUUGUUUGUUUGUAUAUUGUUUCUUUUGAUUAACCGAUGACUAUAACGUGUUUUAAGUGGUAAGAGGUAAUUAACCUUGAUUGCCAUCCUUCCUAGCCUUUCCAUGCCGAUUCGUGUUGAGUUACCGUUACAUACUGUCGCCCCUUCCUGUGAUACGAAAAUGUGCGCACAUUUUUACUAGACAGCUGCAGCUCCCCUCAGCCCGUUUCAAAACCGGACUUUCCAUCCCUUCUCUACCCCAAGGAUUUACCUCACCAUCAUGCCUUAGACUAACGUUUUUAACUUUUAAUGUUUUUACGUAUAACUGUAUUUACGUGGGGACACGAAUUCUUUCGAGAGGAAACGAAGGAUUGUUGUAUUGUGUGUACGGGUACAUUGUGCGUUGUAAUUAACCGGUAGCGCUUAUAGCCAGGCGAGGCAGUGGGACUAAUUGUCCUGUUCGUUGUUCGUGUUGUUUUUGUAAUGACACGGGACGCGCCUCUUAGCCCGCAAGGUCCGGCCGAUAAUAAUUAUUAAACCGGUUGGAUCCAGAUGUCGCCGGGCCAUUUUGGAAAUGAUAUAAAUAGAGACAAUCGGACAGAGAGAUAUAACCGAGCGAGGAAGCGAGUUAUAAUACAUAAGAACCGAGAGAGGAACCGAGCUACGGACGUUACCUACCCAGGAGGGGUUACCUACCAUAAUGUAGAAAAAUGGAGACGACGGGACCUAGGUGGGUCACCCACCUAAGUUGCCGUACGUAUGUAUAUAUUUUGUUAUAUGUUUUAUUAUGUUUUAUUAUAUGUGUUACUAAUAAAGUCAAGUGAAACAACUAAUCUGCGGCUACGGCUCUACCUUGGCUAUCUACGCUUCUGCUGCUAACUUUUCUACCAUUUGCUGACGAAACAACGCUGCCACCUUCUACGCUGUCGACCUACGAGAACCCGAAGUCUUUACCUAAAACCCCAGUACAAUAUAGUAGUAUAAUUAUAGAUAACAUAUAUACACAGAUAUUACGAUACAGACCAGCGUGGGACUGUGGUGCUGUAGGAUAUAGUAUUAUUCUGAUACAGGGUUACAAUUUAAGGAUUACAGGAUUUCUUAAAUACUUAUUGAUUUCUCGCUAUCUUCUUUUGUAUCGUCCUUGACGUCAGACUUUGGACCUAAAUGGAAACUAGUGUUCAAUGGUACUGCGGGCGUUUCCAUGAAUCUGUACACACUGUGGAUGUCGGACAGCGUACUGAACGUAAAUGUACCAGAGGCAAUGAUUCCCACUUCUCACUACCGUAUCAACUACAAGUCACACAUGGCAAACGACUGGACAUAUAUAUAGAGGAGUGGUCUGUGCCAGGAUGGAGAAGAGUGGUUUUCAGAAGACAACAUAAUUGAUUCGUCAUUCUCCGAUCUUUCCCCGCCCACCAUGUACUGCAGUAUCGAAUGAGACGCUGAUUCUGACAUGCCGAGACAGUUCUUCAUUCAUGAUUCCUACACCGGCUGCUUUAAUGACCCUGGGUGCAUGGAUAGUCGUGUUGGACAGAAUGAGCCCACAGGAGGAUGACCCAUGUCAAUGGGGAAUGAGGCACCCAUCAAAACGACCUAUGUUCCUGUAUUGUCCGGAUGGGCAAAAAUGUUCAGCUACAUGUAAGUUUACCAACACUACAGUUAGUACUUCUUAGAUAACGUACACAUCUGCCGAUACGAUGCUGAUUUUUGUAAGACAUGGUUACGGCACCCUACCUACGCCAACACCUUCAACACCAACAACAUUACCAACCACCCCGACAACAUCUCCAUCCACACCAACAACAUCACCAACCACA
rnacentral:lncRNA from 1 species